UACGGGGGGGGCAAGCGUUGUUCGGAAUUACUGGGCGUAAAGGGCGCGUAGGCGGCCAACUAAGUCCGACGUGAAAUCCCCAGGCUCAACCUGGGAACUGCGUCGGAUACUGGAUGGCUUGAAUUCGGGAGAGGGAUGCAGAAUUCCUGGUGUAGCGGUGACAUGCAUUGAUAUCAGGAGGAACACCCGUGGCGAAGGCGGUUCACUGGGCCUUUCCUGACGCUGAGGCGCGAAAGCGUGGGUAGCAAACAGG
rnacentral:rRNA from 1 species